rnacentral:rRNA from 1 species
GUAGGGAAUAUUGGACAAUGGGGGCAACCCUGAUCCAGCCAUGCCGCGUGAGUGAAGAAGGCCCUCGGGUUGUAAAGCUCUUUUGUCCGGAAAGAAAAGCAUUCGGUGAAUACCCGGAUGUUCUGACGGUACCGGAAGAAUAAGCACCGGCUAACUUCGUGCCAGCAGCCGCGGUAAUACGAAGGGUGCAAGCGUUACUCGGAAUUACUGGGUUUAAAGGGUCCGUAGGCGGGCCUGUAAGUCAGUGGUGAAAUCUCAUAGCUUAACUAUGAAACUGCCAUUGAUACUGCAGGCCUUGAGUAAAUUUGAAGUUGCUGGAAUAAGUAGUGUAGCGGUGAAAUGCAUAGAUAUUACUUAGAACACCGAUUGCGAAGGCAGCUUACUAAGCGAUCAUUGACGCUGAGGCACGAAAGCGUGGGGAGCAAACA